rnacentral:rRNA from 1 species
AUACGGAGGAUGCAAGCGUUAUCCGGAUUUAUUGGGUUUAAAGGGUGCGUAGGCGGGACUGUAAGUCAGGGGUGAAAUACUGCAGCUUAACUGUAGCAUUGCCUUUGAAACUGCCGUUCUUGAGUUCAGUUGAGGUAGGCGGAAUGUGGUGUGUAGCGGUGAAAUGCAUAGAUAUACCACAGAACGCCGAUUGCGAAGGCAGCUUACUAAGCUGUUACUGACGCUGAGGCACGAAAGCGUGGGGAUCAAACAGGAUUAGAUACCCUGGUAGUCCACGCUGUAAACGAUGAUUACUGGUUGUUAGCGAUAUAUAGCUAGUGACUGAGCGAAAGCAUUAAGUAAUCCACCUGGGGAGUACGUCGGCAACGAUGAAACUCAAAGGAAUUGACGGGG